AACGAACGCUGGCGGCAGGCCUAACACAUGCAAGUCGAGCGGACCUUUCGGGGUCAGCGGCGGACGGGUGAGUAACGCGUGGGAAUAUGCCCUUCUCUACGGAAUAGUCCUGGGAAACUGGGGGUAAUACCGUAUAUGCCCUUUGGGGGAAAGAUUUAUCGGGGAAGGAUUAGCCCGCGUUGGAUUAGGUAGUUGGUGGGGUAAUGGCCUACCAAGCCGACGAUCCAUAGCUGGUUUGAGAGGAUGAUCAGCCACACUGGGACUGAGACACGGCCCAGACUCCUACGGGAGGCAGCAGUGGGGAAUCUUAGACAAUGGGGGCAACCCUGAUCUAGCCAUGCCGCGUGAGUGAUGAAGGCCUUAGGGUUGUAAAGCUCUUUCAGCUGGGAAGAUAAUGACGGUACCAGCAGAAGAAGCCCCGGCUAACUCCGUG
rnacentral:rRNA from 1 species